UUAGACACAUUCUCUUUAAUUUUUAUAACAACUCUCCAACAUGGGAAGAAUUAGCCUCAUUCUACAGAUAAGGAACUUCAAGAUCAGAGAGGGAGAGUACCUGGCCCAAAGUCACACUACCAUCAUUAAGGGAACAGCCUCCAGCUCUGAGGGGCAUGCAAGAAAGACAAUUCAGAAAUUGGUGCUCUGAUGGCAAGGUGCCUUUUGGAUCUGUCGCCCUUAUACCUGGAGACCUCUACCACUUCUCUGCCUGGACCACAUCAAAGGUGAAGUCCAAUAUCUAUCCAGCAAGUAUUUUUUAAAGGCCUACCAGGGGCCUCGCUAUUCAGGAGCAAGAAGAUAGCAGUGAACAAAAUGAAAUCCCGUCUUCAUGGAGAUUAUGUUCCAGUGGGGAGCAGACAAAUGAGAAACAAAGUUUGUGUGACUUUGGACAAGAUUCUUGAUCUCUCUGGACUUUGGUUGCAUCAUCUGCAUAAUGAGGAUAAUACCUUACAGCAUUCUUCAGAGGGAAAAAUGAACCAAUAGAUGGCAUUGUUUCUUCCAUCAAAUAGAUGUUUUGGAUGAUCCAUCCAAAGAAGAUCACUUAGUCCGACCAUGAAGCCUACAUCCGUCUCAUCUGAGGGAAGCACUGGGGGCACAUACUGUCGCUCUAUCUGCAGAUCUCACCACGCUGGUUCGGGCAGACAUGGCAAGAGCAAGAACUCUUGCUGAAUUCUGCAGGCGACUCCAGUGGAGACAGUUGGAAGCCAAGGAACUGGAAGACGUCACCUAGUCAGAGAACAAGGUUCUAUGAGAGAGCCCUGGGGCCUCCCAACAUACUCCAUGUGUAUCAGUUUCCUGGGGCUGAGAAUAAAUUUCUGUCAUUUUGAAUCACCCAGUUUGUGUCCAUUUGUUGGAGCAACCGUAGGAAACUAAUACAAAAUAUGACUCACCACCUACUGCACUGCCUCAAGCACGCCGCAGCCCUGCACACAUCUGCUCUGUCUGCUCGCCAUCAUUCCGUCCAGUGCUGCACCUUGUC